rnacentral:rRNA from 1 species
CCCUCCGGGGCGCAGCAGGGGAUCAUGCAUGCCAUAAAUCGCGGGCUGGAGCUCAUGGGAUCGGCAGGCUAUGCCAAGGAGUGGCACGUAGAAAAGCACUGGAGGGACGUGAAGACCAUCCAGUCGAUACUUUAUGGAGUUGCUGCCGAGGCGCCAAUCAAGAUGGACACUGCCCGUUUUUUCUAUAACUGCACUGAAAUUUAAGGAGGGGUUUGACCAUGAAACAUAUUGACGAAUUCUCCCGAUCCGAAGAGUACAUAUCCCCGUUUGACAGGCACUUCAGGCGCCUGCUCAGAAAAACGAUCGAGGAAUCAAUCAUGCCUUUCCGGAGAGGGUAUGACGAGGACUGGAAGGAUCACCAUCUCAUCGAGCCUGCCUUCGACAGGAUUAUGGUCGGACUCGGUCUUCAGAAGGGCCUGGUUCCAAUUGAACACGGCGGGGGGGC